UACGAAGGGGGCUAGCGUUGCUCGGAAUUACUGGGCGUAAAGGGCGCGUAGGCGGCACUGUUAGUCAGGCGUGAAAGUCCUGGGCUCAACCUGGGAACUGCGCUUGAUACGGCAGAGCUAGAGGAUGGAAGAGGGUCGCGGAAUUCCCGGUGUAGAGGUGAAAUUCGUAGAUAUCGAGAGGAACACCGGUGGCGAAGGCGGCGACCUGGGUCGAGACUGACGCUGAGGCGCGAAAGCGUGGGGAGCAAACAGG
rnacentral:rRNA from 1 species